UCAAUGGUGACCGCAUUUUGCGGCUAUGCUUUUGCGCUGUUAUGUUUGCGGCCGGAUACCAGUUAACCAGGGGCAUCCCCUGCAAAAUGGAUUGUUCUGUGAGAAAGAGGAAAUCAUAUGCUACAACCUCGUACCUAGAUUUUUGUCAUGCGAUACGUUAAAGUUGGAUUACGUGCAUUUUAAAAAUUCAUCCGAGAAAGUCAGCGUAAUUCUACGUGAUGUAAUUAUCAAAAAUGCCACCUAAAAAGAAGAAGAGGGAUUUUUUUCAAGCAAAGCCAGGCAAAGCUUGUCAGUAUCUGAUUGAAAACUUCAGUUCACUUCCAGAUCGCAAUUUGCAAGUUGGACACAUCCUCUUCUCGUUCAUUACAAAUGAACGGUCUUUCUUCAGUACUGUUCAGGUGAUUAGAGAAAAGAUUGGUGCCUCAUUUACAUUUUCAACUAACCAACUGCAGAGCCUUGUUCGAACAACACUCCAGAAAUAUAAACAUUUGUCACGUGAAGCUGACGUGAAGAAAUUUGAUGAGGUAUGUCGGAAGCAGUACAAAUUCCAUCAGCAGCAUACACCAGUAGUUCAACUCUCCUCCUCUGAGCCUGUGCCAUCGACUGGCGUUCAAUUUGGAGAACCUGGGCCAUCAACUUCUGGCAUUCAAUCUGGAAAAACCUUGCCAUCAACUUCAGAAAUUCAGCCUGAUGGAGAACCUGGGCCAUCUAACCCCAAAGAGCCUCCCAGUCCAAAACAAUCACCACCUGCAAGAAAAUCUCCUCGAACAGUGCUCAUCACACCAAGGAAAAGAAAACUACAGAAGAGACUUGAAUUUGUGUCAAAAUCAAACAAGAAAUUUGAAUCUUCUCUCUGAAUUUAUAACAAAACAAGGUGCAAAAAUGACUUCCAAAUAUCCCUGAUUUCAUGUAUUUUAGCUUGAAAAAAAAUGGUGUUUUUUUUAACCCAAAACACUAAACUACAUUCUAUCCCACUGGCAUACCACUCAAAUGAAAGAUCUUGUUGACCUCUUUAAUUUGAUACCACAUUUGUUGUUGUGAUAUUUGUACUUCUAGAGAUAUAUAAAAAUUGCAAUUUUUCAGCCGUGUCCACUUUUGGUGGAAUUGCCCCAAUGGUCAUCACACUAAUUGAUAAAUUAAUAAUUUGUGUUUACUGAUUGUUAAUCAAUAUCAAUUAUCAUAAUAUAAUCAUAAUAUAUAGUCAUUGUAAUGUCUUUUGUGAAAUUUUGAUGAGAUUCUGACUUGUAAUAAGAAAGUUACAGUGCACCAAAACAAAUAGAGUCAUGACGUAACCCAAAUAACGGUCACAAAUUUUCUUAUGUUUUUCUUUGUUUUUGGAGGCCGAAAUUUCACCACCAAUUCCCGAGUUUAAAAUAAAUGUAACUCUUAUAAAUUUUCA